GUGGGGAAUCUUGCGCAAUGGGCGAAAGCCUGACGCAGCCAUGUCGCGUGAAUGAUGAAGGUCUUAGGAUUGUAAAAUUCUUUCACCGUGGACGAUAAUGACGGUACCCGGAGAAGAAGCCCCGGCUAACUUCGUGCCAGCAGCCGCGGUAAUACGAAGGGGGCUAGCGUUGCUCGGAAUUACUGGGCGUAAAGGGCGCGUAGGCGGACAGUUUAGUCAGAGGUGUAAGCCCAGGGCUCAACCUUGGAAUUGCCUGUGAUACUGGCUGUCUUGAGUACGGGAGAGGUGAGUAGAACUCCGUGUGUAUAGGUGAAAUUCGUAGAUAUUCGGUAGAAAACCAGGGGCGAUGGCUACUCACUGGCCCGUUGCUUACGCUGAGGCGCGAAGGCGUGGGGAGCAAACAGGAUUAGAUACCCGGGUAGUCC
rnacentral:rRNA from 1 species